GACGAACGCUGGCGGCGUGCUUAACACAUGCAAGUCGAACGAGAACGGAUUAUAGCUUGCUAUAAUUGUCAGCUAAGUGGCGCACGGGUGAGUAAUGUAUAGGUAAUAUGCCUCUUACUAAGGGAUAACAAAUGGAAACGUUUGCUAAUACCUUAUACUCCUUAUUAACAGAAGUUAAUAAGGGAAAGAUUUAUUGGUAAGAGAUUAGCCUGUAUUGUAUCAGUUAGUUGGUGGGGUAAUGGCCUACCAAGACUAUGACACAUAACUGGUUUGAGAGGAUGAUCAGUCACACUGGAACUGAGACACGGUCCAGACUCCUACGGGAGGCAGCAGUGGGGAAUAUUGCACAAUGGACGAAAGUCUGAUGCAGCAACGCCGCGUGGAGGAUGACACAUUUCGGUGCGUAAACUCCUUCUAUAUGAGAAGAUAAUGACGGUAUUAUAUGAAUAAGCACCGGCUAACUCCGUGCCAGCCGCCGCAGUAA
rnacentral:rRNA from 1 species